rnacentral:rRNA from 1 species
GACGAACGCUGGCGGCGUGCUUAACACAUGCAAGUCGAACGGAAAGACCCUGCUUUUGUUGGGCUCUCGAUUGCCGAGCGGGGGAGUAACACGUGAGUAACCCCCCCUUAACUUUGGGGUAAAUUCAGGAAACUGCGGCGAAAACCGCAUAGGAUCUCCUGCUCCACGUGGGGGUUUGGAAAGUUCCGGUGGUGGGGGAUGGAUUCGCGGCUUACCCGCUUGUUUGGGGGGUAGUGGCUUACGAAGGCUUCGACGGGUAGCCGGCCUGAGAGGGUGACCGGCCACAUUGCGACUGCGAUAGGGACCAGACGCCUACGGUAGGCAGCAGGGGGGAAUAUUGCGGAAUGGGCGGAAGCCUGAUGCAGAAACGCCGGGUGCGGGAUGCCGGCCUUUGGGUUGUAAACCGAUUUCGCAUGUGACGAAGCGGGCUUGACGGUAAUGGGUAAAGAAGCAACGGCUAACUACGUG